rnacentral:lncRNA from 10 species
GGCUUUGCUCUCUGAGGCAGUCAUUCCCACCACACAAAGGCAGUUCUGUGCCUCCCAAAGGUGCUUGGGGCAGGAAUGAAGAGCGGAACAGCCCCCAUCAAUCCAAUAGGAUUGUCGUUUUACGCUGGCGUGGAGCCUCAGACAUCAAAAGGGCUGGAGAGUGAAGCCACGUGUGAGCCGUGAAGGUUUCAUCAGGCCUCUGUGAAAUGGGCAUGGUGAUCCUCCUCCAGCCUUCUCCACGGGUGGCCAUAAGAACCAAAGAAGAAAGUGCAGGCGAAGCUCCAAGUGGAAAGCAUAAUGAUUAGGAUGGGAUGGGCCUUCAGGGAAGCCUGCUGGAUGCCAUCCAGGACACACUUGCUCCAGGUGGUGACCCUGAGGCACAGAAAGCUGAGGGAAUUUGUUCGAAGUCACACAGCUGGCAGUGAUUGACUACAUUGAAACCAUGGAAAACAAAAUGUUUUUUUGCAGUAACCGAAAUGGAAAAAAUGGAACUGAAGGUCGGGUGCAGUGGCUCAUGCCUGUAAUCCCAGCACGUCCUUGCAGAUGUAAUCGGGUGAAGAUGGGUUCAUAUUGGAUUGGAGUGAGUCAUAAUCCACUGUGACUGGUGUCUUUAAAAGAAAAGGACACACGGAAAUUCAGAGACAGAAAGACCCACAGGGAGAAUGCCAUGUGAUGACAGAGGCAGAGACUGGAGUGAUGGGUCUAUAGCCAACGGACACCAAAGACUCUCAUCCACCAGAAGCUGGAAGAGGCAAGAAGGGGAAAAGCAUUUGGGAGGAAGUGGAACCAAAGCAGAUCCUAUCCAAGGUGAAUGGCAAGCAGCUAUAUGAGGAUGGCCUUGCUCCCAGCCGGGUCUCCCAUCCUCAAGAAGGCCAGCCCAGGCUUCAUCACACAGCAGUGGAAGAGUUCUGAUUUAAGAGAAGAAGAGUGGAAGCUGCAGGUCCUGUUGAGACCUGGACUAGGAAGACACACAAUGCCACUUCUGCCACAUUCUAGUUGUCAUUUCUGGUUGUGAAAGCAAGUCCCAGGGCCAGUCAAGAUUCAAGGAAAGGGUAAAUAAACUCCAUUACUUGAUGGGUGCAGCCAAAAAAAGUCAU